UAUCUUAGAUGUUAAGAAUAGUAUUCAGUCAUUUUGGUAUUGUCACCUAAAGCAGCCAAGAGCUAAGUUUAACAUAUUGACAUACAGUGCGUCCACCCAGACAACCUCGACACGGCCUUCACCAAUAAUGGCAGGAGCUUCACCAAUGGACGGGUUGACUUCGCUCUUUACAGACCUAAACAUACUGGCGGCCGGAAAAUCGACUAGAACAACCAGCACAUCGACUUAACAACUUUCUAAACUAUCGCGGUGCGACCACAAUGCAUUUCCUGGUAGCACAACUAAACUAGCCGAAAGCAUUGCCAUAAGCUUCAAUAUCCAAUACCAAGAAUCUGUGUUCGCCAUGGAUGUGCUGUACACAGCAAUGUUAUGUCAGAACACCUGAGUCUACUCCUAACCAGGGAGUCGUACACCACAAAAUGGAUCAAUCGGCAUAGUUUCAUGCCCUACAUUAGCUGCCAUAAGGAUACCCCACAAUAUCUCACGUAACAGCAACAACAUCAAAAUGCUGUAUGGUUCAGGAAUCCGACUGCUGCCAGCAUCAACACUUCUUAAAAAUAUAGCAUCAGCUACCAUCAGCUAGACUUUAAUCUAUACAACCCAAGGCAUUGUCGUGGACCGAAUGAAAGGCAGCAAAUAACAGGCACGCAAAGACCAGCAGUCCGAAACGAAGAAAUGAAACACAAGUAUAAAAAUGAAGAUAGUAUAUGAAGUCCAAUUUAUUAUAGCUAGUCCACAUUCAUAUAAAAAUCAACCCGAAAUUAAUUUGUGGUAAAGACCAUAUCUGGAAAGAAAAAUAUCCGCAUCAGCAUUAACGAUUUUCAACGAACACGCGGAAUCGGAAUGCAAUUGUAUAACUUCAUGAGCUUCUCCUCCAUAUAUCAGCACCAUAUCCAAUAGAUCUUUUCAUACAAUUGCU
rnacentral:sRNA from 1 species